UACGAAGGGUGCAAGCGUUACUCGGAAUUACUGGGCGUAAAGCGUGCGUAGGUGGUUCGUUAAGUCUGAUGUGAAAGCCCUGGGCUCAACCUGGGAAUGGCAUUGGAUACUGGCGAUCUAGAGUGCGGUAGAGGGCAGUGGAAUUCCCGGUGUAGCAGUGAAAUGCGUAGAGAUCGGGAGGAACAUCUGUGGCGAAGGCGGCCAACUGGGCCGACCCUGACGCUGAGGCGCGAAGGCGUGGGGAGCGAACGGG
rnacentral:rRNA from 1 species